CAGACACCCGCAUUUACUUUAAUGCCUUCUGGUAGUACAAGUACUACCCUCAGGGAUAAUUUCAUUUACUUAAUUAUUGUUUAUUUAGUAAAC